UUAAUUGAAACCAAAAAGAGGUAAAUUAUUGUUAAUAAUUCCAUUGAAUUUUUCAUAUUCCAAUUAAA
rnacentral:tRNA from 1 species